UGGAAACUGUUGGAAUUUUGAUGGGGAUUGCUUUUAGAUGGAGUAACAGUGUUGCCAGAGAGAAGCUGAAGACCAGCCUAACAAACAGCAGAGACACUAAGGUUGAGCAGAAUCCUCGGGCCUCAGAGGGUAGGUUUUCUGCUUUGAGGAUGACCAUGUGAUAGGGUCAACCAGAAGGCAGACCCUGCUAGUCUCCAACACAACUCUGUGCAUCUCCUCUUGCACUAAGCCAUGUCUCCCUCUCCUCCAGGACUGGUCCAGGCAUGUACAUGAUUUCUCAGGACAAGUGGAAAUGAUCUGUGAUACCUUCUCUAAAGAAAUGCUAGCACCAUUUCUUUGCCCAUUUACAUUUGGGUUGGGAUUCUGUACAUACUCUGAUUAUUAAUCCCACACCACAUGUGUACUUUGCACUAUAGCUUCUCCAAGGUUGCUGACUGUUGUUU
rnacentral:lncRNA from 1 species